GGGGAGCGUGGAGACAGGUGGUGCAUGGUUGUCGUCAGCUCGUGUCGUGAGAUGUUGGGUUAAGUCCCGCAACGAGCGCAACCCCUGCCCUUAGUUGCCAGCAGUUCGGGUGGGCACUCUAAGGGGACUGCCGGUGAAAAACCGGAGGAAGGUGGGGAUGACGUCAAAUCAUCAUGCCCUUUAUGCCUUGGGCUACACACGUGCUACAAUGGCCGGUACAAAGGGCAGCG
rnacentral:rRNA from 1 species